UACGUAGGGUGCAAGCGUUUGUCCGGAAUUAUUGGGCGUAAAGAGCUCGUAGGCGGUCUGUUGCGUCGGCUGUGAAAACCCGGGGCUCAACUCCGGGCCUGCAGCCGAUACGGGCAGACUAGAGUUCGGCAGGGGAGACUGGAAUCCUGGUGUAGCGGUGAAAUGCGCAGAUAUCAGGAAGAACACCCGUGGCUAAGGCGGCUCUCUAGUACGGUACUGACGCUGAGACGCGAAAGCGUGGGGAGCGAACAGG
rnacentral:rRNA from 1 species